AGCUCCAAUAGCGUAUAUUAACAUUGCUGCAGUUAAAAAGCUCGUAGUCGAAUUUCUGGCUUUUUCAAACAAGAACUGAAUCUCUUUGAUAGAUCAUGUUUCUUCUGUUUGUGAGCCAUCUUUCUGGAUUUUUGUAUUUCUCCUCUUGGAUGAGGGUGUUAUACAAUCCAGAUCUUUUACUGUGAGCAAAUGAGAGUGUUUAACGCAAGCUCAUGUCAUGCCUGAAUCGUCUAGCAUGGAAUAAUAAGAUAGAACUUGGGUUCUAUUUUGUUGGCUUCUAGAAUUCAAGUAAUGAUCGAAAGGGAUAGUUGGGGGUGCUCGUAUUCAGGGGGGAGCGGUGAAAUGCGUUGAGCCUCUGAAGACGGACUAAUGCGAAAGCAUUCACUAAGGAUAUCUUCU
rnacentral:rRNA from 1 species